rnacentral:rRNA from 2 species
AUAGAGCGCAAAACUCCAGAGUUUGAUCAUGGCUCAGGACGAACGCUGGCGGCGUGCCUAAUACAUGCAAGUCGAGCGGAUCAAAGGGAGCUUGCUCCCUGAGAUCAGCGGCGGACGGGUGAGUAACACGUGGGUAACCUGCCUGUAAGACUGGGAUAACUCCGGGAAACCGGGGCUAAUACCGGAUAACUCAGUUCCUCGCAUGAGGAACUGUUGAAAGGUGGCUUUUCGCUACCACUUACAGAUGGACCCGCGGCGCAUUAGCUAGUUGGUGAGGUAACGGCUCACCAAGGCGACGAUGCGUAGCCGACCUGAAUUAGAUACCCUGGUAGUCCACGCCGUAAACGAUGAGUGCUAAGUGUUAGAGGGUUUCCGCCCUUUAGUGCUGCAGCUAACGCAUUAAGCACUCCGCCUGGGGAGUACGGUCGCAAGACUGAAACUCAAAGGAAUUGACGGGGGCCCGCACAAGCGGUGGAGCAUGUGGUUUAAUUCGAAGCAACGCGAAGAACCUUACCAGGUCUUGACAUCCUCUGACAACCCUAGAGAUAGGGCUUUCCCCUUCGGGGGACAGAGUGACAGGUGGUGCAUGGUUGUCGUCAGCUCGUGUCGUGAGAUGUUGGGUUAAGUCCCGCAACGA